CCUGGCGGCACUAGCGCGGUGGUCCCACCUGACCCCAUGCCGAACUCAGAAGUGAAACGCCGUAGCGCCGAUGGUAGUGUGGGGUCUCCCCAUGUGAGAGUA
rnacentral:rRNA from 2 species